GUUCCGCUUCAAGAUAGAUAUCUGGAUAUCGGAAGAGAACUCCUGACUAUGUAUGGGAAGUCUCUCUACUCCUUCAUUAAGGGAGACUGCUCAGGAGACUACAGGAACGUUCUGCUGAAGCUCUGUGGCAGUGAGGAUUGAAGGAUUCCUGUGUACGUCCCGCGUUAUGGGAAGGAGGGAUCAUAAAGGAUUUCUCUCAGGUGUUUGUAACUGUUGGUGAAUAACGCUCUGAAGGCAUCACAGACUGCCUGCUUGUCUCUGCAGUGCUCGGGGCUUUUCUGAGCUGCAGGCUCGCUGUCGCCCUGUGGCAUAGCCUUGCAUCUGGUGACGGACUGAAGCUGGAGAAUCCUGGCAGCAGAGGACGCUCCUGCCCCCACAGAAGGGCUCACAGCUCCACCGCAGCUCCACCGACCUCAGUGCUGGUGAGGAGGCUGAGAUGCCUCCAAGUGAUGAAUGCAGUGCACCCAACCUUACACCUCGUGUGGUUCACUGUGCGAGGCGACCAGGAAGAAAGGUGGGCACAGGUAAUACUGCAUCAAAAGCAACUGCAGAGCUCUCGGGCUGGUAGUCCAGGGUGUGGGGGCCCAGGUGGUGCUGUGGGACAGGUGUGAAAGGAGGGCACUGGUGGUGCGUGCCAGUCCUUGGCUGCAGGACUGGUGCUGGUGGCAGGGCCUUGGGUUCUGUGUCUGCAGGACCUCUUUGCAGAUUGGUGUCUGCUUGGAAGGGAUGGGACCCACCUACCUAAGAGAGGUGAGGAUAUUUUCAUCAGUAGGAUGGCAGCUUCACAAGGGAGGCUUUAACCUAAGAAUGGUGAGGGCUUUUGAUCACAGGGAUGGGGUGAUGUGAGGGAGAGGGACCAGAAAAUCAGCACUUGCAGGGUUGCAAGGAAAUGCCUGAAGGCACUGCUAUGGGGAGAUCCCCCAAAGCUCCAGAGGAGGUUGUGGUGGGUAACGGGGGGAGGCUGCUUGGAUUUGUGCAGAGGGAGAGCUGGAGAGAGAAAUAGAUAGACAGAGGGAUCAACAGAGGAGAGAACUGUUAGAUGGAUGGAUGGAUGGAUGGAUGGAUGGAUGGAUGGAUGGAUGGAUGGAUGGAUGGAAAAACGGAUUGAAGGAUCAUUGGAUUGUUGGAUGAAAGGGUGGAUGUAAAUACAGGUGGGUGGAGAGAUCAACAGGAAAAUAUGAUUUCUGCCUCAAAGACCAGUGUGCCCCCAGGCCCCACUCCCUCCAUGGGAACCAGUGGCGGUGGCCCUGCGGGUACAGAACCCACGUCCCAUUGGCUGGAGCCACUCUCUUGGCUGCUACAGAACCCAGAACCUUUGGAGGAGGCUCAGUUCCAUGGCUCUGGCAUGGGGAGUGCUGGAUCCCUGGAUCCUCUGUCCAUUUGGGAUGGGGUGAUGGGGUCUGUGGUGCAGGAUGGAUCUUGGGUAUGGUGGUCUGUUGCCCCCUUUUAGUGGGAUGUGGGGUGAGAGAAGUCCUUGCCGUAUGAGUCCCUUUCUUACAGGAGGGAUUGGGCUCUAUGGAGUAGAAUGGGUCAGUGAGGUCCGUUGCCCACCUAUCAGGUUUACGGGGUCCAGUGGGGCAGGGAGGGGUCCCAAACCCCUCAGUUGGAUGCCCUGUUUAAGGUGGGAAGGAGGAUAAUGAGGUAAAGUGGGGCAGAGGGAGGGCCCCCUCCUUGCCCCUCCCCUUCAUUGCUGUGAUGUCAGUGGGGUAACAGCAGUUCUCAGGGUAACUGUCCCAACCCCAAACCAUCCUAGACUUCUCUCUGAUCAGCUGUGAAGAUGGUGCCUUGUGGCCUUGUUCCCAUCUGGGAUGGAUCGUUCUACAAUGCUGUGUGUCCCAUUGGGCCAAAGUACUGGUUUGGUGCUGAAAUCCAACUCCAUUCCUCACCAGCUGUAUUCCCAAGGAAUCCUCCUUCCCCAUCCUCCCCAAGCUCCCAACUUCUAUCUCCAACUGAUGUGCAGGAAUCAAACUCUAUAACCACAGAGUAGUUAUAAAGCAGGUAUGUUUAAUCAGCGCUGCACACACGCUGGAUGCAGAGGGGGUAUUCCCACCUAGCCUGCAUACUGGAGGGCAAGCAAGGCACAUACUUAAAGAACAAGCUGCUUACAUAUGCAUUAGGAUAAGGAUAGGAUAAGGGGGAAUAUGUGGAGUCAUUCAUGCAUCUACUUACAAGUUGGGUCAUCCCAUUAUGUGCUCCAAAUACAAGGUUGAAUUUUGGUCCUAAAUAAUAGUGCCGUUAGCAGCAGCUUCCUCACCUUCCCCUAAGCAAAUGGGCUCCCUCUGACCGCUUUUAUAUUUGUGCUGAGCAGGUCAAUUUAGUGACGGGACCCCAAAGCAUGGUACGUCCAUCCCUGCCUGUGGUAGUCAUGUGCAGAUCCAGCAAUCAGAGAAGUUUGAAGUCUUAGCACAGUUACUAAUUACACUGUAAAAGGAGCUCUCUUCCCAGGCCAGAACACCUCCCGCGUACAUUGAGAUAAAGCAAAUUAGUAACCAGCUCAUCUUGUCUUGAUGAGUUUAACUUUUGACGGUGCACUUUCCUUGGCAGACCCCGGCAUCUUGGAAUAACCUCCUGCAACAAUACUUACCUCACAUGCCUUAUUAGUCCCUACAAGGGAAUGCCUCCAGCCACCCUAAAAAGCUAUCAGGACCAACAUACAGCAGUAUACCCCCCCCCCCCCCCCCCCCCCCCGCCUUUUCUUGGGAGUUCUGAGAAAUCAAUUUGCCAUUGUUGCCCUGGCAGGUUCCCUUUCCAGUAGGCCCACUUGUACCCUGUUCCUGGUACUAGGAUUGUACUUGGUAGUCUCUGUUCCCGCAGUAUGUUUUCUUAUCUUCCUUAGAACCAAUUUCCAUACAAUACUAACGGGCACAACAAUGUGUCCAUCUGGGCGUGAACCCAUCUGUCAGCUUGCUCUCUUCCCUUCUAAACCACUAAUUAGAUUCCUAUCCUCCGUAGGAUAUUUUACAGGUUCUGACUCAGGUUCAGAGAUUUUAAGUUUACCGUCUGGAAUUAAAGCCUUCUUCAACUGCCUGUUUCUGCCACCUGAUCCGCCAUCUUAUCUCCAGUUUCCUGUACAGUGCUACCUUUCUGGUGUCCUUUACAGAGUAUAAUAGCCAUGCUCUUUGGUAGAUGUACAUCAUACUGAAUGUUUUCCUUGUGUGUGAGCAAUCCUUGCUCUUUCCAGAGGGCACUAUGAGCGUGUUCCACCCAAAAGCAUGUUUAGCAUCUGACCAUGUAUUUAAGGCUCUUGUCAAGGCAGUUAUUGCAGCCUUCUGAGCCAAGUCCCACAGGCAAUGGUUGUUCGAUUACCUGGUCAGUAGCAGUUACUGCAUAUCCUGCCUUACGGUUGCCUCGUCUCACAACACUGCUUCUGUCGGAUGAACCCAGGAAUCCUCAGCACUGUCCAAUGGUUCCUCCUGUAGGUCUGGCCGACUGGCACAGUCAGUCUCCAAGCAGUCGCACGCUGCCGGUUUGGAGGUAGUUCUGUGUUGGUGUUAGAAUCAUGGAAUGGCCUGGGUUGAGAAGGACCUCAAAGAUCGUCCAGUUCCAACCCCCUGCUAUGUGCAGGGUCACCAACUGACGGACCAGGCUGCCCAGAGCCUUGUCUUGAAUAAGAUUGUUUUUAGGCGAACAAAAACUUUGGAUCACCUUUCAAAUACAGAGAAAAAAAUAAUGCUGUAUUAUUUUUUUGUUUUAUUUUCCUGUUGUUAUUAUCAGGUAAAGAGACAGACAUAUCACAUCUCAAAAUGGCUUUACUUCAGUGGCCUUAAAUGGUCCCUCUGUGAUCAUUAUUUUCUUAUUGAAUCGCUGUCAGACACAGCUGGUGGAUUUUUGUAUGUGCAGUUUGGAGUUCCUGGCUAAAAUGAACCACAUGAAUACAGAUUACGGAUAUUCUUAUCUCAGCACACUUUUGAGAUGGAGCAUUCAAAUUACAAGACCUUCAGUCUGCUGUUUUAAUCUGACCCAGAAGGAAAACUUCACUACAGUUUCGUUUCCUUGAUUCCCGUGCAAUUUUAUUUUGGAACUGAAGCUCAAUCGAAUUUAAACAACUUUUUUGAAAGUCUGUAAUGAAAGUUGCAUUUUUGCUUACACGUAGCCACUUUGACCCACGGUGAAUGAAAGUCAUAAAGCAGGGUAUAAAGGGAGUUUCUAAAUUGCCUGUUGUUGAGUCCAUUGAAGGCAACAGGAGAGUCCAGAAUGUGACCUUUGAGAGCAAAUUUGCCUCUGCUUCUUACUGAAUUUUGUGUUGCGUUUUUCUGUAUAUAUAUUUCUUUUGACUCAGAAAUACAAAUUAUAAUGAAGGUGAGGCACUUCACAAUACAUUUGGCUUCAGCAUUGCUGAAUAUACAUUUGUAUAUGUAUAUAUAUUAUAUAUAUGUAUGUAUAUAUAUGUAUAUAUAUAUUGUACAGCAAACAUUUCAGAAUCUGCAGAACGUUGCUAAUAACUGCAGUGGAACAGGGAGGAAUAGUGAAAACAGAUUUCUGCUUUGAAUGCUUUCAAAUUUAAUAAUUAAUGCAUUUUAUUUUUACUUGUAUAGGAUUAUCAUGAAUUCUAGAUAGGUAGUUACAUUUGAAAAUGCUAAGUGGGAUAGCAAAACUGGAUCAUAAACACAGGAAACAGAUUCUGCAUUCAUUUUCUUGCAUUUCUGUCCUGCUGGCAUGCUCUUUGUACUUUCUACCAUUUCAGAAUCACAGGAGCUAAAAUAGUCUGAAAAAGAAGAGUCCAAAUUCUUGCCUUUGGAAGGCCCAGCUCGUUACCCAACUCCUGAGCAAAGAAAAAGAAGAAUAAAGGCUUCAGUCACCACACAUACUCACACUGGGAGGUGGCAGUGGGAGGGAGGUGGGAGGUGAAAGGAGGGAUGGAGAAGAGGACGGAUGGACAACGUGGAAGUAGAGAGGGAUGGAUAGGGGGAGGGAUGGAGAACGAGGAAGGAGGGAGGGACACGCACCGGGCCACGUGCUUGGCUCACAAAGGUGACACCAUCCUCCCUGUCACAGACUUCAGCCUCAGCGUGACUGUCAGCCCUGUGGACACGCUGGCUGUCACUGUGCCCACCGUCUGCCACAACAUCACCUGCAGCCUCUGUGGAACUUCAAUGGCCGUGUCCACACCGACCGCCUCAUCCAGAGCAGCACUGCCACGGGUCACCGCCUCAGUCCUGGUCCCAGGUGUCCCCUGUGCCAGCAAUCCCCCAGCAGCGAGUGAGUGGGCAGUGGACACAACCUGGGCUUCUCGCCAGGCCCUGCACGGGUGGUGGCAGCGUUCCAGGGGCACCGCCUCCGGCCCCACCCAUCCCUCUCCAAAAACGAGCUGAUGCUGUUCUCCUGGUUUGAGCGGCUGUGUACGGACUGUGCGACUGCCCGAGGGGAACCUUCCAACCUACUGCCUGAACUGAACUGAACUGAACUUCGGUGUCACGAGCGCGGCUGCAGAUAUGCAGUAACCGUACUGAAACUGCAACUAUCUGAAGACCCACAUGCAGAACAAACCGUACAGUGCACAGAAAUCACUGCAGUGAUGAAGGAACUCGGCAACGGGGCCGCUGUUGUGUUUUGGUAACAGUGAGGAGGCACCAGCAACGAGCUGUGGAUUGGCUGCCCCCCCUGCGCUGCACUGUGCAUUCACGCGCUGGCCACGCAUAGAGUGCGUGAUCCGGCUCAGGGCAUACAGACAUGUCAGGAGGGCAGCAGGGUGAGGUAACUCAGGCAGAGGACACCGCUGCCUCCAUGGGGAUGCCCGCAAGGCCCUGAGCCAACCAGUCCCUCCCUUUACAGCCAAUCCGAGCUGUGCUGGCUGAUGGUCCUUUUGGGACCUCUUGGCGGAUCAGUAGCUGUGCACAGCAGUGCUUAAACGCUCGCUUUGGCCGACUGUGUGUGUGAACGUGUGUUCUGUGCAGUGCCUCAUCCCCGCGUCCCAACACCCCGACGCAGCAGUGCUCCGUGCCGUCCUGCAGGCUGCUGUGCAGCGCGCAGUGCUGCAGAGCUGUACUUCCCGGCCCUGUGCUCACCAGCAGUCUCGUGUGAGUUCUGCCUCCCCCAGAAAACUCUUCUGGGGCAGUGCUGGUGCACCCCUGUGCACGCACAUGCGUGUGAAAAAACAAGCACUGACAUGCAGACACCGAUUUGCACACACCCCUGUACGUGCACACGCAUGUGUAUCCACACACCUGCACACACCCACAGGCAAACACGUGCACACAUGUGCAAGAACACCUUUGCUGACAUCCAUGAGCACACAUACAUCUACAUGCAUGUACACACGUGUGCAAAAUGACACAUCCAUGUUCAAGCACCUCCUGGCACACACACAGCGAUCUGUACGCACACAUUUCAAGCCUACCUUUGC
ensembl:lncRNA